rnacentral:rRNA from 1 species
UGCAGUCGAACGGUGAAGGAGAGCUUGCUCUCCGGAUCAGUGGCGAACGGGUGAGUAACACGUGAGCAAUCUGCCCCUGACUCUGGGAUAAGCGCUGGAAACGGCGUCUAAUACCGGAUACGAGCUGCGAAGGCAUCUUCAGCAGCUGGAAAGAACUUCGGUCAGGGAUGAGCUCGCGGCCUAUCAGCUAGUUGGUGAGGUAAUGGCUCACCAAGGCGUCGACGGGUAGCCGGCCUGAGAGGGUGACCGGCCACACUGGGACUGAGACACGGCCCAGACUCCUACGGGAGGCAGCAGUGGGGAAUAUUGCACAAUGGGCGCAAGCCUGAUGCAGCAACGCCGCGUGAGGGACGACGGCCUUCGGGUUGUAAACCUCUUUUAGCAGGGAAGAAGCGAAAGUGACGGUACCUGCAGAAAAAGCGCCGGCUAACUACGUGCCAGCAGCCGCGGUAAUACGUAGGGCGCAAGCGUUAUCCGGAAUUAUUGGGCGUAAAGAGCUCGUAGGCGGUUUGUCGCGUCUGCUGUGAAAACCCGAGGCUCAACCUCGGGCCUGCAGUGGGUACGGGCAGACUAGAGUGCGGUAGGGGAGAUUGGAAUUCCUGGUGUAGCGGUGGAAUGCGCAGAUAUCAGGAGGAACACCGAUGGCGAAGGCAGAUCUCUGGGCCGUAACUGACGCUGAGGAGCGAAAGGGUGGGGAGCAAACAGGCUUAGAUACCCUGGUAGUCCACCCCGUAAACGUUGGGAACUAGUUGUGGGGUCCAUUCCACGGAUUCCGUGACGCAGCUAACGCAUUAAGUUCCCCGCCUGGGGAGUACGGCCGCAAGGCUAAAACUCAAAGGAAUUGACGGGGACCCGCACAAGCGGCGGAGCAUGCGGAUUAAUUCGAUGCAACGCGAAGAACCUUACCAAGGCUUGACAUAUACGAGAACGCUGCAGAAAUGUAGAACUCUUUGGACACUCGUAAACAGGUGGUGCAUGGUUGUCGUCAGCUCGUGUCGUGAGAUGUUGGGUUAAGUCCCGCAACGAGCGCAACCCUCGUUCUAUGUUGCCAGCACGUAAUGGU